rnacentral:rRNA from 1 species
AGCGAACGCUGGCGGCAUGCCUAACACAUGCAAGUCGAACGAGACCUUCGGGUCUAGUGGCGCACGGGUGCGUAACGCGUGGGAACCUGCCCUUAGGUGCGGAAUAACUCCCCGAAAGGGGUGCUAAUACCGGAUAAUGUCUUCGGACCAAAGAUUUAUCGCCUUUGGAUGGGCCCGCGUUGGAUUAGCUAGUUGGUAGGGUAAAAGCCUACCAAGGCGACGAUCCAUAGCUGGUCUGAGAGGAUGAUCAGCCACACUGGGACUGAGACACGGCCCAGACUCCUACGGGAGGCAGCAGUGGGGAAUAUUGGACAAUGGGCGAAAGCCUGAUCCAGCAAUGCCGCGUGAGUGAUGAAGGCCUUAGGGUUGUAAAGCUCUUUUACCCGGGAUGAUAAUGACAGUACCGGGAGAAUAAGCGCCGGCUAACUCCGUG